AUAGCUGCCAAGGACAGAGAGCACCACCAUAUCACAGUGGGUUCAGUCUCUGUUGACAGGCUGGUCUGCAAGUGUGCUUGAGGCAUCAGAAGCUACCACUGGGGAUGGAGGUCCUUUGGGGGAAACAUGAAUUGAUACAUGAAAACACACAUCUUUCAGCCCAGGGACUCAUGCCAGAGGUCAGAGGACAGCUGUUUCCCCUCAAAUCUCUGAAGAGCAACCAAAGUGCAGAGAACCUGCUCAUUUGCCUGGGUAACAUCAGACAGCAUGAGUAGAGGUAAGAGAAUACUCUCCCUGUUCCACUUGUCUUGCUGUAUAGCUGCUGUACAGAGAAUGUGUGUACCCACCCCCCAAAUUCACGUGUUGAAAUCCUAACUACCAAGGUGAUGGUAUUAGGAAGCAGGGUCUUUGGGAGGUGCUUAAAUCACGAGCGUUUAGUUCUCUCACAAGUAGGAUUAGUGCCUUUAUAAAGAGAAGCCUAAGAAAGCUCCCUUGCCCCAUUUCCACCACAUACAUUUACAGCGAGAGAUGCUGUCUAUGAUCCGGGAAGGUGGCUCUCACCAGACACCAAAUGUGCUAGUGUUGUGAUCUUACCACUUCAAGCCCCCAGAAUUGUGAGAAUUUCUGUUGUUUAUAAUUCACCUAUCCACCCAUCCUAUGGCAUUUUGUGAGAACAGUCUGAAUGGACUAAGAUAGAAAUUAAUCACUCUAAAACUUAGUAGUGUAAACCAGUAAUCUUUUUUAUGUUAUUAUUUUGCUCAUGAUUUUGUAGAUGAGGAAUUUGAUUAGAGCAAGUAGGAAUAGCUCACCUCUGCUCAUGACUAUGUCUUUAGGUGGUUCGAAUGGAGGGAGAGUUGGGAUGGGGGUCCUAUGUCUGGGGCUCUAGUUUGGACUGUCGUCUGGUUCCUCAGCUCUUCUCCAUGUCAUGUCGGCUGGAACUGAAUGGCCAGGAUGGCUUCCUCAUGCACGUCUGGUAUCUGGGCUGGGCUGGGAACAGUAGGGGCGC
rnacentral:lncRNA from 1 species